UACGAAGGGGGCUAGCGUUGUUCGGAAUCACUGGGCGUAAAGCGCACGUAGGCGGAUCUUUAAGUCAGGGGUGAAAUCCCGAGGCUCAACCUCGGAACUGCCUUUGAUACUGGGGAUCUCGAGUCCGGGAGAGGUGAGUGGAACUGCGAGUGUAGAGGUGAAAUUCGUAGAUAUUCGCAAGAACACCAGUGGCGAAGGCGGCUCACUGGCCCGAUACUGACGCUGAGGAGCGAAAGCCAGGGGAGCAAACGGG
rnacentral:rRNA from 1 species